rnacentral:rRNA from 1 species
AUUARARKUUUUAAUUGGCUCAGGAUGAACGCUGGCGGCGUGCCUAAUACAUGCAAGUCGAGCGAAUGGAUUAAGAGCUUGCUCUUAUGAAGUUAGCGGCGGACGGGUGAGUAACACGUGGGUAACCUGCCCAUAAGACUGGGAUAACUCCGGGAAACCGGGGCUAAUACCGGAUAACAUUUUGAACCGCAUGGUUCGAAAUUGAAAGGCGGCUUCGGCUGUCACUUAUGGAUGGACCCGCGUCGCAUUAGCUAGUUGGUGAGGUAACGGCUCACCAAGGCAACGAUGCGUAGCCGACCUGAGAGGGUGAUCGGCCACACUGGGACUGAGACACGGCCCAGACUCCUACGGGAGGCAGCAGUAGGGAAUCUUCCGCAAUGGACGAAAGUCUGACGGAGCAACGCCGCGUGAGUGAUGAAGGCUUUCGGGUCGUAAAACUCUGUUGUUAGGGAAGAACAAGUGCUAGUGAAUAAGCUGGCACCUGACGUACCUAGCAGAGACMUUCC